UGGGGAAUUUUGGACAAUGGACGCAAGUCUGAUCCAGCCAUGCCGCGUGUGGGAAGAAGGCCUUCGGGUUGUAAACCACUUUUGUCAGGGAAGAAACGGUCUGGGUUAAUACCUUGGGCUAAUGACGGUACCUGAAGAAUAAGCACCGGCUAACUACGUGCCAGCAGCCGCGGUAAUACGUAGGGUGCAAGCGUUAAUCGGAAUUACUGGGCGUAAAGCGUGCGCAGGCGGUUAUGCAAGACAGAUGUGAAAUCCCCGGGCUCAACCUGGGAACUGCAUUUGUGACUGCAUGGCUAGAGUACGGUAGAGGGGGAUGGAAUUCCGCGUGUAGCAGUGAAAUGCGUAGAUAUGCGGAGGAACACCGAUGGCGAAGGCAAUCCCCUGGACCUGUACUGACGCUCAUGCACGAAAGCGUGGGGAGCAAACA
rnacentral:rRNA from 1 species